CCUACGGGAGGCAGCAGUGGGGAAUAUUGCACAAUGGGCGAAACCCUGAUGCAGCGAUGCCGCGUGAAUGAAGAAGUCUCUCGGUAUGUAAAGCUCUAUCAGCAGGGAAGAAAAUGACGGUACGUGUAUAAGUAUCCACGGCUAAUUACGUGCCAGCAGCCGCGGUAAUACGGCGGGGGCAAGCGUUAUCCGGAUUUACUGGGCGUAAAGGGAGCGUAGACGGCCGGACAAGUCUGGAGUGAAAUGCCGGGGCUUAACCCCGGAACUGCUUUGGAUACUGUGCAGCUAGAGUGCAGGAGAGGUAGGUGGAAUUCCUGGUGUAGCGGUGAAAUGCGUAGAGAUUAGGAAGAACACCGAUGGCGAAGGCAGCUUACUGGACUAUAACUGACGUUGAGGCUCGAAAGCGUGGGGAGCAAACAGGAUUAGAUACCCUUGUAGUC
rnacentral:rRNA from 1 species